rnacentral:rRNA from 1 species
UACGAAGGGGGCUAGCGUUGCUCGGAAUCACUGGGCGUAAAGCGCACGUAGGCGGAUUGCUAAGUCAGGGGUGAAAUCCUGGAGCUCAACUCCAGAACUGCCUCUGAUACUGGCGAUCUUGAGUCCGGGAGAGGUGAGUGGAACUGCGAGUGUAGAGGUGAAAUUCGUAGAUAUUCGCAAGAACACCAGUGGCGAAGGCGGCUCACUGGCCCGGUACUGACGCUGAGGUGCGAAAGCGUGGGGAGCAAACAGG